rnacentral:rRNA from 1 species
GACGAACGCUGGCGGCGUGCCUAACACAUGCAAGUCGAGCGGGGAGAGCCUUCGGGCUCUUCCAGCGGCGGACGGGUGAGUAACGCGUGAGCAACCUUUCCUUCACAGGGGGAUAACGCAGCGAAAGCUGUGCUAAUACCGCAUAAGACCACAAGGUCACAUGGCCAAGGGGUCAAAGGAGCAAUCCGGUGAAGGGUGGGCUCGCGUCUGAUUAGCUAGUUGGCGGGGUAACGGCCCACCAAGGUGACGAUCAGUAGCCGACCUGAGAGGGUGAUCGGCCACACUGGGACUGAGACACGGCCCAGACUCCUACGGGAGGCAGCAGUGGGGAAUAUUGGGCAAUGGGCGAAAGCCUGACCCAGCAACGCCGCGUGAGGGAAGAAGGUUUUCGGAUCGUAAACCUCUGUCCUUGGGGACGAAAAAAUGACGGUACCCAAGGAGGAAGCCCCGGCUAACUACGUG